rnacentral:rRNA from 1 species
UACGAGAGGCCCAAACGUUAUUCGGAUUUACUGGGCUUAAAGAGUUCGUAGGCGGCGCAGAAAGUGGGGUGUGAAAGCCCUCGGCUCAACCGAGGAAUUGCGCUCCAAACUACUGUGCUUGAGGAAGCUAGAGGUGAGCAGAACUGAUGGUGGAGCGGUGAAAUGCGUUGAUAUCAUCAGGAAUACCGGAGGCGAAGGCGGCUCACUGGGGCUUUUCUGACGCUGAGGAACGAAAGCCAGGGUAGCGAACGGG